rnacentral:piRNA from 1 species
CUAUGAUAAUCUUACCUGGCUUU